GACGAACGCUGGCGGCGUGCCUAAUACAUGCCAGUAGAACGCUGAAGGAGGAGCUUGCUCUUCUGGAUGAGUUGCGAACGGGUGAGUAACGCGUAGGUAACCUGCCUGGUAGCGGGGGAUAACUAUUGGAAACGAUAGCUAAUACCGCAUAACAGUAGAUGUUGCAUGACAUUUGCUUAAAAGGUGCAAUUGCAUCACUACCAGAUGGACCUGCGUUGUAUUAGCUAGUUGGUGGGGUAACGGCUCACCAAGGCGACGAUACAUAGCCGACCUGAGAGGGUGAUCGGCCACACUGGGACUGAGACACGGCCCAGACUCCUACGGGAGGCAGCAGUAGGGAAUCUUCGGCAAUGGACGGAAGUCUGACCGAGCAACGCCGCGUGAGUGAAGAAGGUUUUCGGACCGUAAAGCUCUGUUGUAAGAGAAGAACGAGUGUGAGAGUGGAAAGUUCACACUGUGACGGUAUCUUACCAGAAAGGGACGGCUAACUACGUG
rnacentral:rRNA from 1 species